rnacentral:rRNA from 1 species
AGAGUUUGAUCCUGGCUCAGAGUGAACGCUGGCGGCAUGCCUAACACAUGCAAGUCGAACGGUAACAGGCCCGCAAGGGUGCUGACGAGUGGCGGACGGGUGAGGAAUACAUCGGAAUCUGCCCGGUUGUGGGGGAUAACGUAGGGAAACUUACGCUAAUACCGCAUACGACCGAAAGGUGAAAGCGUGGGAUCCGCAAGGCCUCGCGCAGCCGGAUGAGCCGAUGUCGGAUUAGCUAGUUGGCGGGGUAAAGGCCCACCAAGGCGACGAUCCGUAGCUGGUCUGAGAGGAUGAUCAGCCACACUGGGACUGAGACACGGCCCAGACUCCUACGGGAGGCAGCAGUGGGGGAAUAUUGGACAAUGGGGGGCAACCCUGAUCCAGCAAUGCCGCGUGUGUGAAGAAGGCCUUCGGGUUGUAAAGCACUUUUAUCCGGAACGAAACGCGCAGGGUGAAUAGCCUUUGCGAACUGACGGUACCGGAGGAAUAAGCACCGGCUAACUUCGUGCCAGCAGCCGCGGUAAUACGAAGGGUGCAAACGUUACUCGGAAUUACUGGGCGUAAAGCGUGCGUAGGUGGUUUGUUAAGUCUGCUGUGAAAGCCCCGGGCUCAACCUGGGAAUGGCAGUGGAUACUGGCAAGCUAGAGUGCGGUAGAGGGUAGUGGAAUUCCCGGUGUAGCGGUGAAAUGCGUAGAGAUCGGGAGGAACACCAGUGGCGAAGGCGGCUACCUGGACCAGCACUGACACUGAGGCACGAAAGCGUGGGGAGCAAACAGGAUUAGAUACCCUAGUAGUCC